rnacentral:rRNA from 1 species
UGGGGAAUAUUGGACAAUGGGGGAAACCCUGAUCCAGCAACGCCGCGUGAGUGAAGAAGGCCUUAGGGUUGUAAAGCUCCUUCCCCCGCGAAGAUAAUGACGGUAGCGGGAGAAGAAGCCCCGGCUAACUCCGUGCCAGCAGCCGCGGUAAUACGGAGGGGGCUAGCGUUGUUCGGAAUUACUGGGCGUAAAGCGUACGUAGGCGGAUGCGCAAGUUGGGGGUGAAAUCCCGGGGCUUAACCUCGGAAUUGCCCUCAAAACUGCACGUCUUGAGACCGAGAGAGGUAAGGGGAAUUCCUAGUGUAGAGGUGAAAUUCGUAGAUAUUAGGAAGAACACCAGUGGCGAAGGCGCCUUACUGGCUCGGUACUGACGCUGAGGUACGAAAGCGUGGGGAGCAAACA